rnacentral:rRNA from 1 species
AUACGUAGGGAGCAAGCGUUGUCCGGAUUUACUGGGUGUAAAGGGUGCGUAGGCGGCUUUACAAGUCAGGCGUGAAAUAUAUGGGCUUAACCCAUAGACUGCGUUUGAAACUGUAGAGCUUGAGUGAAGUAGAGGUAGGCGGAAUUCCCGGUGUAGCGGUGAAAUGCGUAGAGAUCGGGAGGAACACCAGUGGCGAAGGCGGCCUACUGGGCAUCAACUGACGCUGAGGCUCGAAAGCAUGGGUAGCAAACAGGAUUAGAUACCCUGGUAGUCCAUGCUGUAAACGAUGAUUACUAGGUGUGGGAAGAUUGACCCUUUCCGUGCCGCAGUUAACACAAUAAGUAAUCCACCUGGGGAGUACGACCGCAAGGUUGAA